rnacentral:lncRNA from 1 species
AAAGGCGGGUUCGGGUCUCUCCUUCGCGGGGCCGCCACAAAAGCUGGUCAAAAGAAGACGAAUAAUUUCGACGCGUGUCGGGAUAUGAGUGGAAGGAGACUGAGGCACGUGAAUGCGGAGAAGAAGUUGGAGGAGUGGAAAGCGGAGGAAGAGGAUAGGAGGUUGGAGAAGAUGGCGGAUGAGUUUAUUAAGAAGAAGGCGAAGAAAGGGAAAAAAGGGGCUGGAGAUGGUGAGGCGGAGAAGUACGUGGCUAGGUAUAGAGAGGAGUCGGCGAAAUGUGCUGCAGUAGUUGAGGAGGCUAUGAAAGAGGUGUUUGGGAAUGGGAAGG